UACAGAGGUGGCAAGCGUUGUUCGGAAUUACUGGGCGUAAAGGGCGCGUAGGCGGUUCGUUAAGUCCUGUGUGAAAUCCCCCGGCUCAACUGGGGAACUGCACAGGAAACUAGCGGGCUUGAGUUCGGGAGAGGGAAGCGGAAUUCCGGGUGUAGCGGUGAAAUGCGUAGAGUAUCUGGAGGAACACCAAUGGCGAAGGCAGCACUCUGGGACGUGACUGACGCUGAGACGCGAAAGCGUGGGGGAGCAAACAGGAUUAGAUACCCGGGUAGUCCGAGAACCAGAUCGUCCAUGCGCAAG
rnacentral:rRNA from 1 species